CGCGCACGGUAUUGGGUGUCUUAAUUGCGUAAUUUGUAACACUUGAAGAAGAGCGCUUAUAGUUUUUUGUCAUUUUUCGCAUUUUGUCUGCACGUAUUUUCCCGAAAUUUUGCACAUCGCUUCUAUGACGUCAUAUGAUGAUGUCAAUAAAAAAUUCAUUUCAAUAAAAUCAGAAAAUGGCAGUUUAUGGGCGUCCGUAGAAGCGGUCAAAUUUUGUAACAUGUUGUGAUUUAAAGACAAAAUCAGACAAAAUGGAAUAUUUGGAAACGAAUUCAACCCUUUCGUCAACAGAAAGAAUAAAAAUUAAUAAAGAUAAGAAAAAAGAGAAAAGAAGAGAACAGAAACGUAGGAGUUAUAAAAUACAUCAAUACAGAAAAAGUCCCAAAUCUACCAAAACCUAUAGUAAGACUGAAAGUGCUAUUAAACAGAGAGCAUACAAUGAAAGAAAAAAGCAAGAAAAAGUUCAAGAAAAAAGAAAUAAAACGAAAGAGAAGAGAAUAUAUGAAAAUGUACAGACAACGGACAAGACUACACGAUGCUUCUAAUGACGAAGAACAACUUUUUUCUAACAGGAUGGAAAAGGCUAGAACAAUAAAAAGACUUAAGGAAGCUCUACCAAAAAAUUCGAGCAAACGUGCAGCUGUAAUUUCCGCUUAUAUAGAUAAAAAAAAGAGUGUCAAAGUCACCAGCGGUUGAAAAAUUUCACUCUUCACUCAACGACAGUUUAGAGAAAUCUGCCCUAGAAAAUGUUAAAGAAAUCAUC